AUGUUUGGUUUUUUUUUUUUGCACUUUCUGACCUUAGAAACAAAACGCUGGGGCCCUUUUGGGGCUUUUUUUGGCCUUUUUUUCCGUCCUUUUUGCCUUUUUUUUUGGCCUUUUUUUGGCUUUUUUGGCCUUUUUUUGGCCCUUUUUCGGCCUUUAUUGGCCUUUUUUUGGCCUUUUUUUCUGGCCAUUUUGGCUUUUUUUUUUUUGCCUUUUAUUGGCCUUACUUUAGGCCUUUUUCAGCCUUUUUUUCUGGCCUUUUAUUGGCCUUUUUUGGCCUUUUAUUGCCCAUUUUUGGCCUUUUUUUCCGGCCUUAUUUGGCCUUUUUUUCUGGCUUCUUUUUGGCCUUUUAUUGGCCUGUUAUUUUUGCCCUUUUAUUUUUGGCCUUUUAUUUUGGGCCUUGGCAUUUUUGGCCUUUUUUUUUUUUUUCUUGCCUUUUAUUGGCGUUUUCUUGGCUUUUUCAACUUUUCUGGCCUUUUUUUCUGGCCUUUUCUUGGCUUUUUGGAAUUUUUUUGGCCUUUUUUUGGCCUUAUUUUCUGGCCUUUUAUUAGCCUUAUUUUCUGGCCUUUUUUGGCCUUAUUUUCUGGCCUUUUAUUGGCCUUUUUUGGCCUUAUUUUCUGGUCUUUUUUGGCCUUAUUUUCUGGCCUUUUAUUGGCCUUUUUUUCUGGCCUUUUUUGGCCUUUUUUUCUGGCCUUUUUUGGCCUUUUCCUGGCCUUUUUUUUGGCCUUUUCUUGGCUUUUUGGCCUUUUUUUGGCCCUUUUUCCUUGGCCUUGCCCCCACAGGAUGCUCCCCCCCCUCCCUUUCUCCUCUCUCUUCAUCGCUUUGUUUCUUUAUCUCCCUCCUUUCCUUUUUUUUUUUCGUCUAUUUUUUCUCCUUUUUUUUUUUUUCUUUUUUUUUGGCUUUUUUUUUUCCCUUUUUUUUUUCUUUUUUUUUUUUCCUUUUUUUUUUUGGUGUAUUUUUUUUCUUUUUUUUUUUUCCUUUUUUUUUUUGGUGUAUUUUUUUUCUUUUUUUUUUUUCCUUUUUUUUUUUGGUGUAUUUUUUUUCUUUUUUUUUUUUCCUUUUUUUUUUUGGUGUAUUUUUUUUCUUUUUUUUUUUUCCUUUUUUUUUUUGGUGUAUUUUUUUUCUUUUUUUUUUUUCCUUUUUUUUUUUUUCGGUCUUUUUUUUCCCCAUUUUUUUCCCCUUUUUUUUUUUUUUUUUCCCUUUUCUGCCUUUUUUUGA
rnacentral:lncRNA from 1 species